GUGCUCACUUCAGCAGCACAUGUACUAAAACUGUAACAACACAGAGAAGAUUAGCAAAGACUCUGUGUAUGGAUGAUGCCCAAAUUUGUGAAGCAUUCCAUACUUCC
ensembl:snRNA U6 U6 spliceosomal RNA